GCGGGGAUGGCGUAAUUGGCAGCCGCGCGGCGCUUAGGUCGCCGUGCCUUCGGGCGUGGGGGUUCGAGUCCCCCUCUCCGCA
rnacentral:tRNA from 1 species